GCGAGGAUGUUCCCGAACUCAACCCCGCCGCCCCGUCCCGCACAUACCACACCAUCUCUCUCCCCCGAUCCACACGACCACCUCUCUGCCCCGAUCCUCUUGACCACCCACCGCCGACCUGGCUCCGGCGAGCCACCCGCCGCCGGCCCUUGGCUUUGGCGCCACCGACGGACGCCUCGACGCGCCACCCAGCACACCGCCCCUGCCUCCGGCGCUCUACCCCCCGCUACCCCCACGACCUCGACGCGCCACCCUCCGCCGUCCCCGCGGCCUCGACGCACCACCCUCUCCCGCCCCCACGGCCUCGACGCGCCACCCGUAGAUGCCCCCCAGUCACCCACGGCCUGGACGCGCGCAUCCCCCGCGGCUGCCCAGACCCGAAGCACCUCCUGCAGCGAUCCCCUCAGCCCCGCUGUCGCUCCCACCAGGACCCAGACGCAUCUCCUGCAGCCCUCCCCUCCCCCUGGCCCCGAGAAUCCUCCUGCUGCCACUCAUCCUCGACGCGCCUCCCGCAGUCGGACCUCCAGAAGCAGAGCAGAUCCCAUGCUCCUGCAGGUCAAUUGCGACUCCCGCGGACGGUCAAUCUCCACUGGCGCCCUUGCAUCGUCUCUUGCAUCGCAAAAAAUCCUUCUCCCCCUUAAACUGCCAGCGAUGGCAACGGUGUCCGGGUCCAGUCCUGCUCCCCUCCUGACCAACCACCGCCUCACCAUCCCUCUGGGCGACCUGCAGCUGGGGGAGGUCUCGAACUGCAGCUUGAGGAGGUCUCGACCUGCAGGCGACGAUCUUACUAAAAGAUCGAUAUGAGCUCAAGCACGUUAGCCAGCUAGGCUUUAAGCACCGUCUCCAUGGAUCGAUCGCCCUGACUGAAUGACCCAACCACGUUAAUCAACAGGAAAUAGGCGAGAGAGAGAGAGAGAGAGUCUGGGUUACAUACAGUGUACAUUAGCUGUGGCAGAGAAAAUAUAUGUUCGAAUUCUUGCACCGUUGUGCUAGAUAACACAGCUUAUUAUUCAGUGAUUUGCACAAACACUUCACCUGGAGGUAUUGACUUGCAGCAUGUCGCGCCUGCCGCUGCCGCCGAGGUCCACCACAUACAGUGGAUGCUGCGGCAACCACUCCCACCACUGUCUGUUGCCGAUGCGUGCAACCACGUCCAGCCACCCACUGGACGUGGGCACAGAGGCAGGGCCACGCCGAGGGAGCUCGAGCUCCACCUCCCGCAGCCGCUUCCCCUGCAGGUUGUAGCGGAAAAAUAAAAAACAGAAGUUCAAAGAUGAAAUUUGAAGAAGGAAAUAUGCAACAAUCAAAGAAGUGCGGGUCUCAUUACAGAGAAGGAGAACGCCUUGCGAUCCAGCCGAGUUGACUCCUGCCAUCGGCACUGCAUAAUUAUCACUGGAUGCCCAUGGCCACCGGUUGGAUAAUUAGCACUGAACGACUUGCAAUCCAGAAGAAAGUUGCGCCCAUAACCCGUGGAGAUCUAUCACGUUGUGCAGUUGGUCGUGAUGUCUCCUGGAGCUUCAGUUUUAUGACCUUGAUGCAUUUUCUUCUUUUUUGAUGUGCCAUUUGAUGCAUAAAUUAUCACUGGAUGCCCAUGGCGGGUGCACAGUAUGUGUUUGUGUUAGUUCCCGACAGGUUCCAUCAUGUACUAAAUGGUGAUGGAUAGAGAGAUCCAAUAUUCAUUUGUAUAGAAGUUCAAAUUUAAAUAAAAUAGAGGUUCAAUGUUUAUGAAA